CCUAUUGGCCAGGCCCCGUGUCAAUCACUCUGCUGCGCUGGGCACGGUUUCUUGUGUUUACAGAAAGCAAAGCGACGAACGCACGAAAUACGGAAAACACAAGAAAGGGUGCCUGCCAACAUGGCGAAAUGCAAGCUAGUUCUGCUGAGGCAUGGGGAGGGGGCUUGGAACAAGGAGAACCGCUUCUGCAGCUGGGUGGAUCAGAAGCUGAGCUGCACUGGGGUGAAGGAGGCCCAGGACUGCGGCAAGCUGCUGAAGGACCUGGGAUACGAGUUCGACCUGGUCUUCACCUCCAUUCUGAGCCGCUCCAUUCAGACUGCCUGGCUGGUUCUGGGGGCCAUGGGUCAGGAGUGGGUGACAGUGGAGAAGUCCUGGAGGUUGAACGAGCGGCACUACGGCGCCCUCAUCGGGCUCAACAGGGCCGAGAUGGCUCUGAAUCACGGCGAGGAACAGGUCAAGAUCUGGAGGAGGAGUUACGGGGUCAUGCCCCCGCCCAUUGACCAAUCGCACCCUUACUUUUUGGAGAUCUACAACGACCGGCGGUAUGAGACCUGUGACCUACCCAAGGACAAGCUGCCCCGGACAGAGAGCCUGAAGGAGGUGCUGGACAGGCUCCUGCCCUAUUGGGAGGAGGUGAUCGCUCCGGAGAUCAGAAAAGGGAGGAGGGUGCUCAUCUCGGCACACGGGAAUAGCACUCGGGCUCUGCUGAAGCACCUGGAAGUAGAACAUAAAAACACAAUUAUGGAUCGUUUCUGAUCGGCACUCAUCUGAUUUCUGUCAGCGAAUUGAUCCCAGAACCGCAUCAAGGAUCCCAGAGAAUCAGCAGCAGUAACAACAUAGGUAUCUCAGACGAGGAGAUUGCCAGCCUUACCCUGCCCACCGGGGUGCCUGUUGUGUUGGAACUGGAUGAGAACCUGCACCCCACC